ACAGGGAAGCCCCCACCACCACCACCACUGGUGCCUCUCGGGAGUUGGAGUCCAGUCUGUAGGGGCUGCUGGGUCUUUAGCAGGCCGCUGAGCUAUUGGGUGCGCGCGGGUAGGAGGGGGCGGGGCCAGUCUCGCCCGAUCUCUCAAGAGCCCCGCCUCCUCGGGAGGGUGGGGGCGGCGGAGAGAGCGAGCGAGCGAGCAAGAAAAGCAAGUGCGCGCCAGCCGGAGACGAAGAAGGGCGCUUAAGCCGGGCUCGGGGGCUUCCUCGUCGGCAGGAAGUCCCGCGCAGCUCAGGGCGGCUUGUCCCUCCCCCCUCGCCCCCCACCGGCAGCGCGUGCACCGCCAGUGCUCCCUGCGCCAGGGACGCUGCCCAGAGGCCCUUUCACUACAACUCCCAGCACCCUCGGCUGCAGCGGCCUUGGGCUGGGGAUUGCGGGAGUUGUAGGGCAGCCCUUUGUGUAGAAUACGUGCGAUGAGGGCAUAAGACCAGCCCUGCUGGAUCAGGCCCGAGGAAGCCCAUCUAGUCCAGCAUCCUGCUCCGCACAGCGGCCCACCAGGAAGCCCGCAGGCAGGAGGGUUGCCCUAUUGAGGCUUCCCAAAUCCAGCAUGGGCUCCUGGCUGAAUCCACAUCUGCGUCACAGAACAAGCCAUUCCACUGCAGUAAAAAUGAACCAGCAGUUGGGACCUGGAUGGAACAAAGGGAGAAAUUCCAGGAAGACACAAAGUCACCGAGGGGACCAUGCCUGCAUAGUUCUAUAUAAUUUGAGACAUCCGUAAUGCAUCAGACUGUAUGUGCGUGUACACACACAACUUUCCCCCCCUUUUUCAUUCCCUCUCAGUACUAUCAUGCAGAGCUUCCCAAUUAAGCCAUCUACACCUGCUUCAUGCCAUUGAUAUUACAUGCAUUUCUCUUGUUCA